rnacentral:rRNA from 1 species
GAUGAACGCUGGCGGCGUGCCUAAUACAUGCAAGUCGAGCGAACAGACGAGGAGCUUGCUCCUCUGACGUUAGCGGCGGACGGGUGAGUAACACGUGGAUAACCUACCUAUAAGACUGGGAUAACUUCGGGAAACCGGAGCUAAUACCGGAUAAUAUAUUGAACCGCAUGGUUCAUUAGUGAAAGACGGUUUUGCGGUAACUUAUAGAUGAAUCCGCGCCGCAUUAGCUAGUUGGUAAGGUAACGGCUUACCAAGGCAACGAUGCGUAGCCGACCUGAGAGGGUGAUCGGCCACACUGGAACUGAGACACGGUCCAGACUCCUACGGGAGGCAGCAGUAGGGAAUCUUCCGCAAUGGGCGAAAGCCUGACGGAGCAACGCCGCGUGAGUGAUGAAGGUCUUCGGAUCGUAAAACUCUGUUAUUAGGGAAGAACAAAUGUGUAAGUAACUAUGCACGUCUUGACGGUACCUAAUCAGAAAGCCACGGCUAACUACGUG